CGGAUGAAAGGGUGAAUCUAACUACCUGUCUGCGAUUUCAGCUGAGGAUUACUCUCUGCGGUGGACAGCUUGGGCUUGGCAGCCCACACUGAGGAAUUUCACAAAGAAAUGAAUUCUCAGUCCUUGGCAUGACUGGGUGCCCUGGUGGUUCUAGCAGCAGGCAGUGCUCAAGGCACAGAAUUGCCUGUGUGAGGAAUCGUACCAUCUCCAAAUAGAUGUGAUUUAAACCUGAGAGUAAGCAAAGAAGAUUAAUUACUGAUGAGAAGGGGCUGUAGGGAACAGUCAUUUGUGAAAACAAUUCCAACUUCCUUAUCAUCACUUAUACAAUCGGGGAACGUAAGACCCAUCUGAAAAGGAUAACAAAACCACCUAUUAAUUAAAGCUGAAAUUUCUCUGAGGUCAGUCGUCUCCUUCAUCUGCUUACCUUCUUGCUAAGGAUAACGUGUUUUAAGUUAAUUAUCUUUUUUUGUAAGUAAUUUAUGAUUUUAAGUGGUUUACAUUUCUAAACUUAAAUAA